CCCCGGACUGAUAACUAGAUGGCAUGUCGGAUGGUAUUAUCAUUUAUUAAUCGCAUACUGUUUUUUAAGUGUCCGGGAUAGCGAAAUAUGUGGAAAUGCUUCUUACACGGUUUUGAAUGUUUUAAAGAACACUGCAUAUUCUCAACCGUUUACUUUUCCUCAACAUCA
rnacentral:snoRNA from 1 species